GCCUUCGUGGUGUAGUAGUCAGCACGCUCGACGUGCAACCGAGAGGUCCGUGGUUCGAAUCCCGGCGAGAGCA
rnacentral:tRNA from 1 species